CGUUUUCUGCGAUGUUUGCCAGCACACUCUUACAUUUGCCUUGUUCCUAAUUACGGCCCCGGGUCGGCUUUAACAUCGGCUGUUGUGCAUGUCCGCCACGUGCGGAAAGCCUCGAGGCCAUGUAGCUCUCCCACCUGAUCCAUUUUGGAUCAAGGUCGUUUGGUGGGCAGCGGCAUCGCGGUUAACGC
rnacentral:other from 2 species